rnacentral:lncRNA from 1 species
CUCAUUUUACAGAUGAGGAAACUGAGACCAACAGGGAUAAAUGACUUCUCCAGGGCCACACAGCUAGCAAGUUAUCUGAGGCCAGAUUUGAACUCAGGAAGACUCAUCUUCCUGACUCCAGGCCUGGAGCUUUAUCCGCUUUGCAACCUAACUGCCCAGGCCUAUUUCAAGUUUACAUUCCCCUCAACCUCAGUGAGAGGAGAAGGACAUGGUGAUUUUUCUGCUUCCCGAAUGACUAUCACCCUUCACCUUGUGUUUCCUCAUCUGUAAACCGAGCUGGAGAAGAAAAUGGCAAACCACUCCAGUAUCUUUGCUAAGAAAACUCCAAAUGGGGUCACAAAGAGUUGGACACAACUGAAAAUGGCUGAACAACAAGAAGAGUUAGAAGACUUGGAAAAUUGAAGGUCAAUCAGAAAUGAAGAGAAUAAUAGUAUUUGGAGCUGGACAUUGUCAUGUCCGAAUCAUUCAUUAAAAAAAAAUGUUAAAAUUGACU